rnacentral:rRNA from 1 species
GGCCGCGGGAAUUCGAUUCAGGCCUAACACAUGCAAGUCGAACGGGACUACUAAGAAGAUCUUUUCGGAGUGAUUCUUUUUAGUUUAGUGGCGGACGGGUGAGUAACGCGUGGAUAACCUGCCUUUCACAGGGGGAUAGCAGCUGGAAACGGCUGGUAAUACCGCAUACGCUCUUAAGACCGCAUGAUCUUAAGAGGAAAGAUUUAUCGGUGAGAGAUGGAUCCGCGUCUGAUUAGCCAGUUGGCGGGGUAACGGCCCACCAAAGCGACGAUCAGUAGCCGGCCUGAGAGGGCGGACGGCCACAUUGGGACUGAGACACGGCCCAGACUCCUACGGGAGGCAGCAGUGGGGGAUAUUGCACAAUGGGCGCAA